GACGAACGCUGGCGGCGUGCUUAACACAUGCAAGUCGAGCGAUGAAGUUCCUUCGGGAACGGAUUAGCGGCGGACGGGUGAGUAACACGUGGGUAACCUGCCUCAUAGAGGGGAAUAGCCUUCCGAAAGGAAGAUUAAUACCGCAUAAGAUUGUAGUACCGCAUGGUACAGCAAUUAAAGGAGCAAUCCGCUAUGAGAUGGACCCGCGUCGCAUUAGCUAGUUGGUGAGGUAACGGCUCACCAAGGCGACGAUGCGUAGCCGACCUGAGAGGGUGAUCGGCCACAUUGGGACUGAGACACGGCCCAGACUCCUACGGGAGGCAGCAGUGGGGAAUAUUGCACAGUGGGGGAAACCCUGAUGCAGCAACGCCGCGUGAGUGAUGACGGUCUUCGGAUUGUAAAACUCUGUCUUCAGGGACGAUAAUGACGGUACCUGAGGAGGAAGCCACGGCUAACUACGUGCCAGCCGCCGCGGUAACAC
rnacentral:rRNA from 1 species